CAGCGCCGCGGUAAUACGGAGGGUGCAAGCGUUAAUCGGAAUUACUGGGCGUAAAGCGCACGCAGGCGGUCUGUCAAGUCAGAUGUGAAAUCCCCGGGCUUAACCUGGGAACUGCAUUUGAAACUGGCAGGCUAGAGUCUUGUAGAGGGGGGUAGAAUUCCAGGUGUAGCGGUGAAAUGCGUAGAGAUCUGGAGGAAUACCGGUGGCGAAGGCGGCCCCCUGGACAAAGACUGACGCUCAGGUGCGAAAGCGUGGGGAGCAAACAGGAUUAGAUACCCCAGUAGUCCCUGUCUCUUAUACC
rnacentral:rRNA from 1 species